rnacentral:rRNA from 1 species
AUGCAAGUCGAGCGGAAAGGCCCUUCGGGGUACUCGAGCGGCGAACGGGUGAGUAACACGUGAGUAACCUGCCCCUGACUCUGGGAUAAGCCCGGGAAACUGGGUCUAAUACCGGAUACGACACGCUUCCGCAUGGGAUGCGUGUGGAAAGUNUUUUCGGUCGGGGAUGGACUCGCGGCCUAUCAGCUUGUUGGUGGGGUAACGGCCUACCAAGGCGACGACGGGUAGCCGGCCUGAGAGGGCGACCGGCCACACUGGGACUGAGACACGGCCCAGACUCCUACGGGAGGCAGCAGUGGGGAAUAUUGCGCAAUGGGCGGAAGCCUGACGCAGCGACGCCGCGUGGGGGAUGACGGCCUUCGGGUUGUAAACCUCUUUCAGCAGGGACGAAGUUGACGUGUACCUGCAGAAGAAGCGCCGGCUAACUACGUGCCAGCAGCCGCGGUAAUACGUAGGGCGCAAGCGUUGUCCGGAAUUAUUGGGCGUAAAGAGCUCGUAGGUGGCUUGUCGCGUCGGGUGUGAAAGCUUGGGGCUUAACUCCAGGUCUGCAUUCGAUACGGGCUGGCUAGAGGUAGGCAGGGGAGAACGGAAUUCCUGGUGUAGCGGUGAAAUGCGCAGAUAUCAGGAGGAACACCGGUGGCGAAGGCGGUUCUCUGGGCCUUACCUGACGCUGAGGAGCGAAAGCGUGGGGAGCGAACAGGAUUAGAUACCCUGGUAGUCCACGCCGUAAACGUUGGGCGCUAGGUGUGGGGGCCUUCCACGGUUUCCGCGCCGUAGCUAACGCAUUAAGCGCCCCGCCUGGGGAGUACGGCCGCAAGGCUAAAACUCAAAGGAAUUGACGGG